GACGAACGCUGGCGGCGUGCUUAACACAUGCCAGUCGAACGGAAAGGCCCUGCUUUUGUGGGGUGCUCGAGUGGCGAACGGGUGAGUAACAAGUGAGUAACCUGCCCUUGACUUUGGGAUAACUUCAGGAAACUGGGGCUAAUACCGGAUAGGAGCUCCUGCUGCAUGGUGGGGGUUGGAAAGUUUCGGCGGUUGGGGAUGGACUCGCGGCUUAUCAGCUUGUUGGUGGGGUAGUGGCUUACCAAGGCUUUGACGGGUAGCCGGCCUGAGAGGGUGACCGGCCACAUUGGGACUGAGAUACGGCCCAGACUCCUACGGGAGGCAGCAGUGGGGAAUAUUGCACAAUGGGCGGAAGCCUGAUGCAGCAACGCCGCGUGCGGGAUGACGGCCUUCGGGUUGUAAACCGCUUUCGCCUGUGACGAAGCGUGAGUGACGGUAAUGGGUAAAGAAGCACCGGCUAACUACGUG
rnacentral:rRNA from 1 species